UACGUAGGGGGCUAGCGUUGUCCGAAGUUACUGGGCGUAAAGCGCGCGUAGGCGGGUUGGUAAGUCCGCUGUGAAAGCCCGGAGCUCAACUCCGGAGGGUCGGUGGAUACUGCCAGUCUUGAAGGUGCUAGGGGGAGAUGGAAUUACCGGUGUAGCGGUGAAAUGCGUAGAUAUCGGUAGGAACACCAGUGGCGAAGGCGGUCUCCUGGGGCAUUCUUGACGCUGAGGCGCGAAAGCUGGGGGAGCGAACGGG
rnacentral:rRNA from 1 species